GAUGAACGCUGGCGGCGUGCCUAAUACAUGCAAGUCGAGCGAACAGAUAAGGAGCUUGCCCCUUUGACGUUAGCGGCGGACGGGUGAGUAACACGUGGGUGACCUACCUAUAAGACUGGGAUAACUUCGGGAAACCGGAGCUAAUACCGGAUAACAUUUGAAACCGCAUGGUUCUAAAGUGAAAGAUGGUUUUGCUAUCACUAAUAGAUGGACCCGCGCCGUAUUAGCUAGUUGGUAAGGUAACGGUUUACCAAGGCGACGAUACGUAGCCGACCUGAGAGGGUGAUCGGCCACACUGGAACGGGGACACGGUCCAGACUCCUACGGGAGGCAGCAGUAGGGAAUCUUCCGCAAUGGGCGAAAGCCUGACGGAGCAACGCCGCGUGAGUGAUGAAGGGUUUCGGCUCGUAAAACUCUGUUAUUAGGGAAGAACAAAUGUGUAAGUAACUGUGCACGUCUUGACGGUACCUAAUCAGAAAGCCACGGCUAACUACGUGCCAGCCGCCGCAGUAA
rnacentral:rRNA from 1 species